CGGACGGGUGAGUAAUGCCUAGGAAUCUGCCUGGUAGUGGGGGACAACGUUUCGAAAGGAACGCUAAUACCGCAUACGUCCUACGGGAGAAAGCAGGGGACCUUCGGGCCUUGAGCUAUCAGAUGAGCCUAGGUCGGAUUAGCUAGUUGGUGAGGUAAUGGCUCACCAAGGCGACGAUCCGUAACUGGUCUGAGAGGAUGAUCAGUCACACUGGAACUGAGACACGGUCCAGACUCCUACGGGAGGCAGCAGUC
rnacentral:rRNA from 1 species